UUUAAAAAUGUCCUGUACCAAAUCAGGAAUAUGGCCAUUGUUAUAUUAUAGUUCGUUUCUGUGUGUGUUACAUUUUAACGUUGUGUUUCCGUUGUGUCGUUUGUUUUCUCUUAUUUUUGAGUGUGAAUUCACAUUACUAUAAGACAUGUCACGGUACUUAUCUAUCCCAAAUUCAUGUUUUUGGUUUUGAUGUUAUAUUUGUUAUUCUCAUAGGAUUUUGUCUAAUGCUUAGUUCGCUUAUGUGUGUGUUACAUUUUUAUGUUGUGUCGUUGUUCUC
rnacentral:lncRNA from 1 species